UACGUAGGGUGCAAGCGUUAAUCGGAAUUACUGGGCGUAAAGCGUGCGCAGGCGGUUUUGUAAGACUGUCGUGAAAUCCCCCGGGCUUAACCUGGGAAUGGCGAUGGUGACUGCAAGGCUAGAGUUUGGCAGAGGGGGGGUAGAAUUCCACGUGUAGCAGUGAAAUGCGUAGAUAUGUGGAGGAACACCGAUGGCGAAGGCAGCCCCCCUGGGUCAAAAACUGACGCUCAUGCACGAAAGCGUGGGGAGCAAACAGG
rnacentral:rRNA from 1 species